AACUGUGCAUCUCGAACCUCUAUGGGCCAGACCUUGUUCAAGUUUCUUGCAAUGGGAAGACAUGUGUGUUGUAACUUCCCCCUUCCAGGGGUCUGCAGACUCUGGCCGAAGACCAUCAAAGUUCAGACUCUUGGCCUCUACCCCUCUUGCUACUUUCUCAUUGCUCAGUUUUCCCACAGGGGUUUUGUACCUAGAAGGCUUUUUUCCCCCUUUCUUUUCUUUAAUUGUCAGGCUUUAUAGCACUACUGCACCUGGUCAGGAAAUUCCCUGCAGCCUGCCUUCUGACUUAGAGAACCUCCAAUGUCACCAGUCACUCACACCUGCUCCCUUCCCCAACAAAAGGUUCUUCAGUGUGUCCAUUUCUCUCCGGGAUGAACUGGAUCAUGAAGGAAGGGACAACAGAUGGCAGUGUGACUUCUUCAAAGAUCGUCACCCCUUUGGAAAUGCAGUCUCCCCUUCCCCCAAUGUCACUGAAUCUCUUAGUGUUGUUGGCAUGAGAUCCAACUUAUGGGCCCCUCUCCACCAUGAUGGCAACCUUCCUCCAACAUGCCACACUGAACUGUGGGGUACUACAGUGCAUUGCUCGGACAGGAGAAAUGAGCAGAGGUUGCAUAGACCGUCUUUUUCCCCAGAUGUUGAGAGCUGCUGUUUUUUCUUCUUCUGAGGAAAUAUUCUCUAUUUUUAUUCUAGUCUUUGGGAAAAAAAUGAAACAAGAGACAAGAGGGGAUGAGAACUUGUCCUCGCUGGGUGCAGGGGCCAUUGCAUACUUUUUUUGUUGUUGUUAUAAAUUCAGAAUACUCUGGAUACCUGCACACAGCAAGAGGUGCCCAUGCGUUUGCCAAAAUAAACACAAUUCUGCCCUGGGUUGUGUUUUUCAACACUGUGAAAAGGUGCCGAUUUUUAAAACUGAAUUUUAAACGUUAUAACCACACCCGAUGGCUUGUCCUUCCUGCUGCCUCAGCAGGGACCACUUUUUAAGCAGCCAUCCUUGAGUAGCGAGGCCUGGUGAGCAGGCACUACCUUCACUUUGUUCUAAGGGAGAUCAGGGAAGGGGGUGGGGGAUUAUGGGAAGGGGCUGUGGAGCUCUGAAAGUGAGCCAGAACCCUUGCACCCCAGGGCAACUCACAGCAAUCAGAGCAGGAAUUUCUGUGGUGAUUUUGCACACACGACUCUCAUGCCUAAUCCUUGGUGCUUCUGCACCUGUGUCCCAUAUGUUCAUCCUGAACUUAGCUUCCAGCUGGAACUCGCUCAGGAACGACCUGUGACAUUUUCACUUUCGCACAUGGAGCAGGCCAGCGAGUCCUCGGAUGGCACGCCUUUGCUUUGCCACCACUUCAUGCCCUGUUGUCAUUUUACAGGGUAGGUAGAAAGGGGCCCCUGAGGUAAUCCCAGUGGGUCCCAGUGAGUGGAAAGAGCCAAUGUAAAGACAGAGGCCAAUUGUUGUAAAAGGUCAUAGCUGCUUUCACCAGUUGUAGUAGGACCGGUGGAAAGGUACCACAGCAAUGAAAAUGAGGUAUCUCAAGAGGUGGGAACAGGCACCCUGCGUCCCAUAGCCUGUUCAGAUUUGCAACCAGUCUUAAUGCUGAAGGAGGUAGGCCUGGGGGCUGGAGAGUGUGUUUGCUUUGGCUGAAGGAGACAUUUUAAAAACAGGCUAAAAAUAGGGAGAACAGGAAGGCACCCAUGCCUUUAUCAAAGGAAAGUAUGCCGGUUACUAAUAUUGAGCGCCGCAUUCUUCCAGACUAAUGGAAGUUAAUGGAAACAUUGCUCCUCCCAGCGUGGUGAGACCAGAGGCAGUGGCAGUGACUGGGUGCCUGGAGUGGGAACUGUCUGGAGUGGGAACUGUCUUGAGAAGGAUAACUUAGGAGAUGGAUGAGCCUCGCUGAGGAUGUUCUGGACUCACACCGCGCUAGAUGGCUUGCUGUUCCAGAAGCUUCCUGCUUUAGAUGUAGACCUAACCCAGCCCCGAGCAGCUGAGAAACAACUGAGAGGCCCCUCUUGUCACAAAGGUGUCCUCUGACCCUCCUGUGAGCAAGCAGACAGAGCCCACCAUUUUUGGAAGAACCGGCUGUGCAGGUCUCGCCUCUUCUGUUAGCGAAGUCAGGGAGAGACUUUGCACAAGCCAGUAUACCGGAGCCAAGUUACAGGCAUAAUUGAAAACAUUUGUAAAAUAAACAGACUCUCUCUAUAUAUACAUAUAUUUAUAUAGACAGUUCUCUUGACAUUGAGCUUGAAACUGAAAUGUAUAUGAGGAUCAGGGAAAGAGAUCCUAUUUAGUUUUAAUUUGGGUGACUUGUAUUUUCCACCAAUAAAAGAAGACGUGUGUUUUUGUAGUUAAGGGCAUGCAAUCUUCAUAGUAUUGGAACACUGCUUUUCAAGGGGAGAGCUUAUUAAUAACUAACAACAACAACAACAAUAAUAAUGUUGUUAUAUAACAAUAACAAUAACAAUCAGUUAGAUACCUUUGUUCUGUUCUGGCUCUGACACUAGCAGUAGCUGUGUGACCUUGGCCAGAUCACUUAACCUUUCUUAAUUUUAAUUUCCUGCUCUGAAACCUAAGGCCAUUGGCAUGGGCCAGUGAGUCUCAAGCUGGCAUCCUCGACUCAUUAGAAAUCACAAAAGCAACUCAGUUGAAUUGAGAUUAACAUUCAAAAGAAAAAUAGAAUAAAAAGUGUUGCGAUGC
rnacentral:lncRNA from 1 species